rnacentral:rRNA from 1 species
GAUGAACGCUGGCGGCGUGCCUAAUACAUGCAAGUCGAGCGAACAGACGAGGAGCUUGCUCCUCUGCCGUUAGCGGCGGACGGGUGAGUAACACGUGGAUAACCUACCUAUAAUACUGGGAUAACUUCGGGAAACCGGAGCUAAUACCGGAUAAUAUAUUGAACCGCAUGGUUCAAUAGUUAAAGACGGUUUUGCUGUCACUUAUAGAUGGAUCCGUGCCGGAUUAGCUAGUUGGUAAGGUAACGGCUUACCAAGGCGACGAUGCGUAGCCGACCUGAGAGGGUGAUCGGCCACACUGGAACUGAGACACGGUCCAGACUCCUACGGGAGGCAGCAGUAGGGAAUAUUCGGCAAUGGGCGCAAGCCUGACGGAGCAAUGCCGCGUGAGUGAUGAAGGCCUUCGGAUCGUAAAGCUCUGUUAUUAGGAAAGAAAAACAGUGGAAGAAACUCUGCACGUCUUGACGGUACCUAAUCAGAAAGCCACGGCUAACUACGUG